AUGAGCCAACGAGUUUAUUCUAUGUGGCUUACAUAAGUCCUGUGAAGGAAAUAUGUACAGUGAAAGCGAGGGUUAAACGCCCGUGUGUUUCACUUUCAUUUUAACAUUUUUAUGUGUUAAGUGAAAGUGAAAUAAUUGUCGCAUGGAUAAGACCCGAAGCCGGGUGAUCUAACCAUGGCCAGGUUGAACUUUAGCGAAAGCUAAAGGGAGGACCGAACCCACUAGUCGUGCAACACUAGGGGAUGAGCUGUGGUUAGCGGUGAAAUUCCAAUCGAACUCGGCGAUAGCUGGUUCUCCUCGAAAUAGCUUUUGGGCUAGCCUCGGAUGCUUACUACUGGGGGUAGAGCACUGAAUGAGGGCGGGUCUUCGGAUACCGUCUUUAACCAAACUCCGAAUACCAGUAGGUGGAGUCCGGGAGUUACACUAUGGGCGCUAAGGUUCAUUAGUGGAAAGGGAAACAGCCCUGAUCGCAAUCUAAGGUCCCUAAAUAUAUACUAAGUGUGAAAGGUGGUGUUGUGACUACGACAGUUAGGAGGUUGGCUUAGAAGCAGCCAUCCUUUAAAGAAAGCGUAACAGCUCACUAACUAAGUUGUUUCGCGCCGAAAAUUUAUCGGGGCUAAAGCAUAUUACCGAAGCUGCGGAUUCUAGAACUAUGUUCUAGAGUGGUAGAGGAGCGUUCUGUUUAGCGUUGAAGCUGUGUCGUGAGGCGCAGUGGAGCAAACAGAAGCGAGAAUGUUGGCAUGAGUAGCAAAAAGGCAGGUUAAAACCCUGCCCACCGAAAACCUAAGGUUUCCUGGGCAACGAAAAUCGUCCCAGGGUUAGUCGGUCCUAAGGUGUACCUUGUGUAAUGCAAGGGCAGCCGAUGGACAGCUGGUUAAUAUUCCAGCACUACUGUAGUUUUCCGAUGGAGGGACGCAGUUCCAAUGUUUGAGCGUGUCUAUGGUAUGCACGUUAAUUGCUUCAAGAAAUGAUCUAGGCAAAUCCGGAUCACUAUAUUUCAAGGGGUCGUUAAGAGAUAAAAUCGUAAGAUUGAAUCAAUUCAGGUUGAGGAAUUGCCCAGAAAAUCUUCUAGGGCUAAGGCUACAGUAACCGUACCGUAAACCGACACAGGUAGAUGAGGCGAGAAGCCUAAGGUGUACGAGAGAACUUUCGUUAAGGAACUCGGCAAAACAGCGGCCGUAAUUUCGAGAUAAGGCCUGCCCCACUUUUGUGGGGCCGCAGCUAAAGAAGCUCGAGGGACUGUUUAUCAAAAACACAGCUCUCUGCUAACUCGUAAGAGGAUGUAUAGAGGGUGACGCCUGGCCAGUGUCCGAACGUUAAGGUAAGGGGUUAUCCAUCUUUUAGAUGGAGAAGCUUUGAACCCAAGCGCGGAUGAACGCCAGCGAUAACUAUAAUCGUCCUAAGGUAGCGAAAUUCCUUGUCGGGUAAGUUCCGACCUGCACGAAUGGCAUAACGACUUGGGUACUGUCUCAACGAAGGACUCGGUGAAAUUGCAAUACCGGUAAAGAUGCCGGUUUCCCAUAGCCGGACGAAAAGACCCCGUGAAGCUUUACUAUAGCUUGAUAUUGGUUUAAGGGUAUGUUUGCCUAGAAUAGGUGGGAGACUUUGAAAUUUCAUUUUGGAUGAGAUGGAGUCGCCAGUGAAUACACCUGAUGAUUUUAAAUCUAAUUCUAUGCC
rnacentral:rRNA from 1 species